UCUGGUGACCAUAACGGUAAGGAUACACCCGUUCCCAUGCCGAACACGGCAGUUAAGCUUACCAGUGCCGAUGGUACUUGGGGCUUCGCCCCCGGGAGAGUAGGUCGUCGCCAGAG
rnacentral:rRNA from 1 species